GCCACCCAAGGCCCUCCCCCCGGAGGAAGCAGCAACGCGGACUCUCCAGCCAAAACAGCGGCUCCUGCCAUAGCUGAGGUGGCGGAGGGCCCAGGAGACGUUCCGAAAAUCACUUACACAAAAGAGUAUACGCUGGAUGAUCUCACUGCUACGAACGUCUAGAGUGGGAACGCUGUCUAUCACAGACACACAUCGAAACAGUGGCUGCUCAGGGGGUGAGACAUGUUUUUAAAAAGAGGACGAAAACUGUGAACAAAUAUUCAACUCUUCAAUGACAAGCACGCUGAAAUAUUUAGG